rnacentral:rRNA from 1 species
GAUGAACGCUGGCGGCGUGCCUAAUACAUGCAAGUCGAGCGAAUGGAUUAAGAGCUUGCUCUUAUGAAGUUAGCGGCGGACGGGUGAGUAACACGUGGGUAACCUGCCCAUAAGACUGGGAUAACUCCGGGAAACCGGGGCUAAUACCGGAUAACAUUUUGAACCGCAUGGUUCGAAAUUGAAAGGCGGCUUCGGCUGUCACUUAUGGAUGGACCCGCGUCGCAUUAGCUAGUUGGUGAGGUAACGGCUCACCAAGGCAACGAUGCGUAGCCGAGCUGAGAGGGUGAGCGGCCACACUGGGACUGAGACACGGCCCAGACUCCUACGGGAGGCAGCAGUAGGGAAUCUUCCGCAAUGGACGAAAGUCUGACGGAGCAACGCCGCGUGAGUGAUGAAGGCUUUCGGGUCGUAAAACUCUGUUGUUAGGGAAGAACGAGUGCUAGUUGAAUAAGCUGGCACCUUGACGGUACCUAACCAGAAAGCCACGGCUAACUACGUGCCAGCCGCCGCAGUAA